GAUGAACGCUAGCUACAGGCUUAACACAUGCAAGUCGAGGGACAGGCGCACGGGAGAGUAACACGUAUCCACCCUGCCCUUUACUCGGGGAUAGCCUUUCGAAAGAAAGAUUAAUACCCGAUAUAAAGGAUGGGGAUGCGUUCCAUUAGUUUGUUGGUGAGGUAACGGCUCGCCAAGCCUUCGAUGGAUAGGGGUUCUGAGAGGAAGGUCCCCCACAGUGGAACUGAGACACGAUCCAAACUCCUACGCGCGGCAGCAGUUAGUAAUAUUGGUCAAUGGGCGCUAGCCUGAACCAGCCAAGUAGCGUGGAGGAUGAAGGCUUAUGGGUCGUAAACUUCUUUUAGAGCAGAAUAUGUAUUAUAUGAAUAAGGAUCGGCUAACUCCGUGCCAGCAGCCGCGGUAAUAC
rnacentral:rRNA from 1 species